rnacentral:rRNA from 1 species
CCUACGGGAGGCUGCAGUGGGGAAUAUUGGACAAUGGGGGCAACCCUGAUCCAGCCAUGCCGCGUGUGUGAAGAAGGCCCUCGGGUUGUAAAGCACUUUCAGCGAGGAAGAACGCCUGGUGGUUAAUACCCAUCAGGAAAGACAUCACUCACAGAAGAAGCACCGGCUAACUCCGUGCCAGCAGCCGCGGUAAUACGGAGGGUGCGAGCGUUAAUCGGAAUUACUGGGCGUAAAGCGCGCGUAGGUGGCUUGAUAAGCCGGUUGUGAAAGCCCCGGGCUCAACCUGGGAACGGCAUCCGGAACUGUCAAGCUAGAGUGCAGGAGAGGAAGGUAGAAUUCCCGGUGUAGCGGUGAAAUGCGUAGAGAUCGGGAGGAAUACCAGUGGCGAAGGCGGCCUUCUGGACUGACACUGACACUGAGGUGCGAAAGCGUGGGUAGCAAACAGGAUUAGAUACCCUGGUAGUC